rnacentral:rRNA from 1 species
GAUGAACGCUGGCGGCGUGCCUAAUACAUGCAAGUCGAGCGAACAGACGAGGAGCUUGCUCCUUCGACGUUAGCGGCGGACGGGUGAGUAACACGUAGGUAACCUACCUAUAAGACUGGGAUAACUUCGGGAAACCGGAGCUAAUACCGGAUAAUAUUUCGAACCGCAUGGUUCGAUAGUGAAAGAUGGCUUUGCUAUCACUUAUAGAUGGAUCUGCGCCGUAUUAGCUAGUUGGUAAGGUAACGGCUUACCAAGGCAACGAUACGUAGCCGACCUGAGAGGGUGAUCGGCCACACUGGAACUGAGACACGGUCCAGACUCCUACGGGAGGCAGCAGUAGGGGAUCUUCCGCAAUGGGCGAAAGCCUGACGGAGCAACGCCGCGUGAGUGAUGAAGGUCUUCGGAUCGUAAAACUCUGUUAUUAGGGAAGAACAAACGUGUAAGUAACUGUGCACGUCUUGACGGUACCUAAUCAGAAAGCCACGGCUAACUACGUG